ensembl:lncRNA
AUUUAUUAACUUUUUUAACCUGAAAAAUUAGGUUAUCUCUUCAGGGAUUUACUAAUUUGAUGUGUUAAAACGGUUCUCUCUUUGCACGUCAAACCCUAAAUAUGACACAUUUUCAACAACAACCUGGACCGCUUGAAGAAGGAAGCAGUCUGGGACGAGGACAGCGCCACCUGGAGACUGCCAGAUGUGAUGGUGCAGAAAACAACACUGCCUUCAGAGUGGCGACCCAAAUCAGUGUGGUGCAGAACGCACCAAGGAAACAUACAACUCUGCUGUUGAACGCCUCAAGACUGAAGAAAUGGGUGAUAUGGACCAAAGCAGCAUAAGUAAUGCCAUUACAAAGGUUUUGCCCGACCUUGCACCUUCAGUUCUUGGUAUUGUUGUGGAGACACUGCAGUCAUUGGGUGUAGAAACCACUGAAGAUUUUGACUUCGUCCAGGAGAGUGAUUUGAUGUCUGUUCUUAGACUGAUUCAAGCAAGAAAACUGGUGGCUGCGUGGAAAAAAAACUCACAAAGUACUGAAAUUCACAUCCAGUCAUCAUUAUCCUCUUCUACCUCACCAACAAGCUCCUCAGUCUCUCUUUCACCUUCACCUGGCCGAGUCCUUGCUGUUUUAGACUGGGUUGACAGCUUCCAGAUUCCAUGGGAUAAGUUUCCAGAAGCUUUGCUGCAGUGUUUGGAGAGAGGGAAGAGGCCAGCGCCAAAGUUGAGAAGAGAAAU